rnacentral:rRNA from 1 species
GACGAACGCUGGCGGCGCGCCUAACACAUGCAAGUCGAACGGAGCUGAGAGAAGCUUGCUUUUCUUAGCUUAGUGGCGCACGGGUGAGUAACGCGUGAGUAACCUGCCCUGGAGUGGGGGACAACAGUUGGAAACGACUGCUAAUACCGCAUAAGCCCACGAUCCGGCAUCGGAUUGAGGGAAAAGGAUUUAUUCGCUUCAGGAUGGACUCGCGUCCAAUUAGCUAGUUGGUGAGGUAACGGCCCACCAAGGCGACGAUUGGUAGCCGGACUGAGAGGUUGAACGGCCACGAUGGGACUGAGACACGGCCCAGACUCCUACGGGAGGGAGCAGUAGGGGAUAUUGCACAAGGGGGGAAACCCUGAUGCAGCGACGCCGCGUGGAGGAAGAAGGUUUUCGGAUUGUAAACUCCUGUCGUUAGAGACGAUAAUGACGGUACCUAACAAGAAAGCACCGGCUAACUACGUG